rnacentral:rRNA from 1 species
UACGUAGGGGGCGAGCGUUGUCCGGAUUUAUUGGGCGUAAAGAGCGUGUAGGCGGUUCGGUAAGUCUGUCGUGAAAUCCUGAGGCUCAACCUCGGGCGUGCGAUGGAUACUGCCGGGCUAGAGGGUGGUAGAGGCGAGUGGAAUUCCCGGUGUAGCGGUGAAAUGCGCAGAUAUCGGGAGGAACACCGAUGGCGAAGGCAGGUCUCUGGGCCACUACUGACGCUGAGAAGCGAAAGCAUGGGGAGCGAACAGG